UUUGAACGUAGCCAUUAGUUUUCAUGUCUAAAUUUGAUCAUCUAUUUUAUUUGAAAUUCUUUUAUGAUUAUUGUUGUUGUUGCUAUUAGAUGAUAAAAUAUAAAUAGAAUUUUAUGCGUGACUUAUGCUUUUUUUAAAAUAAUUUUAAUAAAACAGAUGAUUAAAGUUGGACAUAAAAAUUUAUUGCUGCGCUUCAA
rfam:Oryza meridionalis cultivar OR44 (W2112) chromosome 3, whole genome shotgun sequence.